ACAGGUGCUGCAUGGCUGUCGUCAGCUCGUGUUGUGAAAUGUUGGGUUAAGUCCCGCAACGAGCGCAACCCUUAUCCUUUGUUGCCAGCGGUCCGGCCGGGAACUCAAAGGAGACUGCCAGUGAUAAACUGGAGGAAGGUGGGGAUGACGUCAAGUCAUCAUGGCCCUUACGACCAGGGCUACACACGUGCUACAAUGGCGCAUACAAAGAGAAGCGACCUCGCGAGAGCAAGCGGACCUCAUAAAGUGCGUCGUAGUCCGGAUUGGAGUCUGCAACUCGACUCCAUGAAGUCGGAAUCGCUAGUAAUCGUGGAUCAGAAUGCCACGGUGAAUACGUUCCCGGGCCUUGUACACACCGCCCGUCACACCAUGGGAGUGGGUUGCAAAAGAAGUAGGUAGCUUAACCUUCGGGAGGGCGCUUACCACUUUGUGAUUCAUGACUGGGGUGAAGUCGUAACAAGGUAACCGUA
rnacentral:rRNA from 1 species